rnacentral:rRNA from 1 species
CACGUAGGGGGCAAGCGUUGUCCGGAUUUACUGGGCGUAAAGAGCUCGUAGGCGGUUCGGCAAGUCGGGUGUGACAACUCCAGGCUCAACCUGGAGAGGUCACUCGAUACUGCUGUGACUAGAGUCCGGUAGGGGAGCAUGGAAUUCCCGGGUGUAGCGGUGAAAUGCGCAGAUAUCAGGAGGAACACCAAUUGCGUAGGCAGCUUACUUACACGAUCAUUGACGCUGAGGCACGAAAGCGUGGGGAGCAAACAGG